rnacentral:rRNA from 1 species
AGCGUUGUUCGGAAUCACUGGGCGUAAAGCGCACGCAGGCGGAUUGAUAAGUCAGGGGUGAAAUCCCGGGGCUCAACCUCGGAAUUGCCUCUGAUACUGUCUGUCUUGAGUUCGGGAGAGGUUGGCGGAAUUCCUAGUGUAG